rnacentral:rRNA from 1 species
GAUGAACGCUGGCGGCGUGCUUAACACAUGCAAGUCGAACGAGAAGUGAAGACGGAAACCUUCGGGCGGAAGGCUUUAUUCCGAGUGGCGGACGGGUGAGUAACGCGUGGGUAACCUGCCUCAUACAGGGGGAUAACAGUUGGAAACGACUGUUAAUACCGCAUAAGACCACAGCACCGCAUGGUGCGGGGGUAAAAACUCCGGUGGUAUGAGAUGGACCCGCGUUCGAUUAGCCAGUUGGCGGGGUAACGGCCCACCAAAGCGACGAUCGAUAGCCGAUCUGAGAGGAUGACCGGCCACAUUGGGACUGAGACACGGCCCAAACUCCUACGGGAGGCAGCAGUGGGGAAUAUUGCACAAUGGGGGAAACCCUGAUGCAGCGACGCCGCGUGAGUGAAGAAGUAUUUCGGUAUGUAAAGCUCUAUCAGCAGGGAAGAAAAUGACGGUACCUGAGUAAGAAGCCCCGGCUAACUACGUG